rnacentral:rRNA from 1 species
UACGUAGGGUGCAAGCGUUGUCCGGAAUUAUUGGGGCGUAAAGAGCUCGUAGGCGGUUUGUCGCGUCGACUGUGAAAACCUACAGCUUAACUGUGGGCUUGCAGUCGAUACGGGCAGACUUGAGUUCGGUAGGGGAGACUGGAAUUCCUGGUGUAGCGGUGAAAUGCGCAGAUAUCAGGAGGAACACCGGUGGCGAAGGCGGGUCUCUGGGCCGAUACUGACGCUGAGGAGCGAAAGCGUGGGGAGCGAACAGG